rnacentral:rRNA from 1 species
UACGUAGGGUGCGAGCGUUGUCCGGAAUUACUGGGCGUAAAGAGCUCGUAGGUGGUUUGUCGCGUUGUUCGUGAAAACUCACAGCUCAACUGUGGGCGUGCGGGCGAUACGGGCAGACUGGAGUACUGCAGGGGAGACUGGAAUUCCUGGUGUAGCGGUGGAAUGCGCAGAUAUCAGGAGGAACACCGGUGGCGAAGGCGGGUCUCUGGACCGACACUGACGCUGAGGAGCGAAAGCCAGGGGAGCAAACGGG